CUUUAGCGCGGUGGUCCCACCUGACCCCAUGCCGAACUCAGAAGUGAAACGCCGUAGCGCCGAUGGUAGUGUGGGGUCUCCCCAUGUGAGAGUAGGGAACUGCCAGGC
rnacentral:rRNA from 3 species